rfam:Lasius niger Lnig_2.1_17271, whole genome shotgun sequence.
AAAACGGCCCUUUUCAGGGCCAACAAUUUAUUAUACGUCGGAAUUG